rnacentral:tRNA from 1 species
ACCUAUAUAGCUUAUAUUAGAGUAUAACACUGAAGAUGUUAAGGAAUCAUUAAAUGAUUUUAGGUA